rnacentral:lncRNA from 1 species
CUGGGGACCAAGUUUGUUCACGCCCUGAACAGGCACUGUGCAGGGUGGAGAAACUGGAGAUGUGCUGCCCAGCCGGUGGAGCAGAAGGUUGAAAUGCUGCUACACAGACCAUCGAAGAAAACCUAGGAGAAAACAAGGAAGAGCCUCCUAAAAGUGAUCUUCAGAAUUCAAGGACUGGGCAGAAAAAUAGGAGAGAGGAAGCCCACCCCAAGGAGCUCAUCCUGGAGGGAAAGGCCAAGUUUCAAAAGACAUCAAUUCUUGUUUUAGGAUUGAACUUGGGUCUUCAGAUGCUAAGACAAGCAUUUUUACCCACUGAGCCAUCACAGUGACCACACCCAGGACUCUCCUGAAAAGCCAGGCCCAGGCCCAUGCACACACCCACACUUGGUUAUGCCUUAUCCUCUGCCUGUAUCUUGCUAUUAAUCAUGUGGUGAAACCUAUGUAAAAUCUCUUCCUCGUUGGGGCUGAGGAGAUGGCUCAUCAGAUAGACCAUGUACUGUUCUUGCAGAAGAACUGAGUUUGGUUUUCAGGACCCACGCCAGGUGGCUCAUACCCACCUGCAACUCCAGCUCCAGGGAUCAUCUGAAACCCUCUUCAUGCCUCGGUGGGAAAUUCUCCUCCGUGGACAAGCAAAACUCCUGGUGUCACCAAGUGAGAUCUCUGGAAAUCCUCAGGGUACCGCAGGCCACUGUGGUGCUGAGUUUUUCAGCCUACUUCCCACCGAUGCUGAC